GGAAUCUUCCGCAAUGGGCGAAAGCCUGACGGAGCAACGCCGCGUGAGUGAUGAAGGUUUUCGGAUCGUAAAGCUCUGUUGCCAAGGAAGAACGUCUUCUAGAGUAACUGCUAGGAGAGUGACGGUACUUGAGAAGAAAGCCCCGGCUAACUACGUGCCAGCAGCCGCGGUAAUACGUAGGGGGCAAGCGUUGUCCGGAAUUAUUGGGCGUAAAGCGCGCGCAGGCGGUUCUUUAAGUCUGGUGUUUAAACCCGAGGCUCAACUUCGGGUCGCACUGGAAACUGGGGGACUUGAGUGCAGAAGAGGAGAGUGGAAUUCCACGUGUAGCGGUGAAAUGCGUAGAUAUGUGGAGGAACACCAGUGGCGAAGGCGACUCUCUGGGCUGUAACUGACGCUGAGGCGCGAAAGCGUGGGGAGCAAACAGGA
rnacentral:misc_RNA from 1 species